rnacentral:lncRNA from 1 species
AGUGUCUCCAGCACAGCAGGGUCUGGUCUGUGUCCACCAGGCUGCUUCUGCCAUGCUCAAUCUCACCUUACUCUUGAAGGAAAUAAAAGGCUAGGAAGCCAGAAGAAAUACUCACACCGAGGGCACUGGCCCACCAGGGGUGGCAUUAGCAAAAGAGACUCAAUGAGGAUGAGAAAACAGAGAUGACAGAGACCCAAAUAACAUUUGAAUUGGACUCUACCUGCAAGUGGAGCUUUACCAUCCAGGCCUCACCUCCACCAAAGACAAGUAACAGCAGGACCAACCUACAUGCAAAAGAAACUUCAGUCCCAUACAGGUAGGCUGAUGACCCACACAAAGCGCAGCAAGAAUCCUUGUCCACAUAGGCUCUCCUAGAUUGGACUGGCUGGAACCUCUCACAGUGCCAUUUCAGUCAAAGCCCUGGGAAAACAGCCAGUUCCUCCACUGUGUCCCAGUAUACAAGAAAACAGAUUCCUAUUGAAGUUAUGCAAACAAACACAUUGCCAUGAAUUAAGAAUACUCAUAAAUGAACUACAAAUUCUGGAGAAAGUAGGCAGAGAACAAAAUAUGCCUUAAUUUCAGUUUACAAAAGUAUAAUCUACUCAAUUGUUAAAGGCUAUAAAUAGCUCAAAAGGAAAAAUGUUCUCCAGACUCUGAAGAAUCAGCAAUGUUUCAAACAAACAAAAAGGCCAUGAAAAAUUAUUUCAGUCCUCUGUCAGUUCAAUCCAUGCAAUCAACUCCUGCUCUACUUCAUAUUGGGUUAGUAAUCUUUAUGCACAUCAGCCUUUCAACUAGUACCCUGGAAAUAUCCUCUCUAAUCCAAUGGCACAAUCUUCAAAGUUAACAGAAACCUGCCUUCAAGAGUUCUUUUCAUGAACUUCUCCAAAGAAGAAAACCCUGGACUAUAGCUGAUUAGAAGUCACUUUUUGAGAAGGAUCAAAGCAAAACAACAAUUGUGAAUGACGAAAGUCUUAGGACAGCUGUAAAGAUACAGUUGUCAAUGACAGUGGGUUAUAUCUAUGGCAUACAACAAUUUAACAUAAUAAUCAUAAUUACUACUGACAAUAUAUACUAAGACAUAUCCGAAUUUGAGGAAUCUUAUACAAUCCUGGGGCACAUAUUAACGACAUAUCUAUAUAAAUAUAACCCAAAGGAAGCUAAACACCACCUCAGAUUUGACAGUGCUUUCUGAAUAAUUCUAACAUAACAAAUAAGCCUAAAUUGUCUCUCUUGGGCUUCAGGGAAUUUAAUAUUCAAAAAAGUUAGUUUGAGGUCAAAAAGACUGAAUUUAGAACUUGAAAUUUUGCUCUUAGAAAGUUUGCCAAAUAUCAGUGUUAAGAUACUUGAUAUCACAAAAUAGAACCACAGGUCA